UCCAGGAAAAGCCUCUAAGCAUCAGGUAACAUCAAAUCGUACCCCAAACCGACACAGGUGGUCAGGUAGAGAAUACCAAGGCGCUUGAGAGAACUCGGGUGAAGGAACUAGGCAAAAUGGUGCCGUAACUUCGGGAGAAGGCACGCUGAUAUGUAGGUGAGGUCCCUCGCGGAUGGAGCUGAAAUCAGUCGAAGAUACCAGCUGGCUGCAACUGUUUAUUAAAAACACAGCACUGUGCAAACACGAAAGUGGACGUAUACGGUGUGACGCCUGCCCGGUGCCGGAAGGUUAAUUGAUGGGGUUAGCGGUAACGCGAAGCUCUUGAUCGAAGCCCCGGUAAACGGCGGCCGUAACUAUAACGGUCCUAAGGUAGCGAAAUUCCUUGUCGGGUAAGUUCCGACCUGCACGAAUGGCGUAAUGAUGGCCAGGCUGUCUCCACCCGAGACUCAGUGAAAUUGAACUCGCUGUGAAGAUGCAGUGUACCCGCGGCAAGACGGAAAGACCCCGUGAACCUUUACUAUAGCUUGACACUGAACAUUGAGCCUUGAUGUGUAGGAUAGGUGGGAGGCUUUGAAGUGUGGACGCCAGUCUGCAUGGAGCCGACCUUGAAAUACCACCCUUUAAUGUUUGAUGUUCUAACGUUGACCCGUAAUCCGGGUUGCGGACAGUGUCUGGUGGGUAGUUUGACUGGGGCGGUCUCCUCCUAAAGAGUAACGGAGGAGCACGAAGGUUGGCUAAUCCUGGUCGGACAUCAGGAGGUUAGUGCAAUGGCAUAAGCCAGCUUGACUGCGAGCGUGACGGCGCGAGCAGGUGCGAAAGCAGGUCAUAGUGAUCCGGUGGUUCUGAAUGGAAGGGCCAUCGCUCAACGGAUAAAAGGUACUCCGGGGAUAACAGGCUGAUACCGCCCAAGAGUUCAUAUCGACGGCGGUGUUUGGCACCUCGAUGUCGGCUCAUCACAUCCUGGGGCUGAAGUAGGUCCCAAGGGUAUGGCUGUUCGCCAUUUAAAGUGGUACGCGAGCUGGGUUUAGAACGUCGUGAGACAGUUCGGUCCCUAUCUGCCGUGGGCGCUGGAGAACUGAGGGGGGCUGCUCCUAGUACGAGAGGACCGGAGUGGACGCAUCACUGGUGUUCGGGUUGUCAUGCCAAUGGCACUGCCCGGUAGCUAAAUGCGGAAGAGAUAAGUGCUGAAAGCAUCUAAGCACGAAACUUGCCCCGAGAUGAGUUCUCCCUGACUCCUUGAGAGUCCUGAAGGAACGUUGAAGACGACGACGUUGAUAGGCCGGGUGUGUAAGCGCAGCGAUGCGUUGAGCUAACCGGUACUAAUGAACCGUGAGGCUUAACCUUACAACGCCGAAG
rnacentral:rRNA from 1 species